rnacentral:sRNA from 1 species
CCACUAACUACUCCGUACAAGAGAUUCGUAUCCACUCCCAUACAACUACACGAGUGCGUCUGGGUAGGCCACAGCGCUCAGUUUUUGUUUGGCAGAUAACUUGGGAAAUUUAAAUUUAUUUAAAUUUUUUAACUUCCCGCUGUCGUGUUUAUUUAGCUAUCGUUCCUGAAGCUUCUUUCUUCCGUCUCCCUACUGUUCGUUCUGAUUGCGUAUUGCCUGUAUCAGGCAUAGAGCUACGCUCUCACACUCUCUUUGUCCUCCAUUAACCUGUUCCGCUCUCCUUCAUUUCUUUUGCGAAUUCGAUUUCCUACCGCCAAUUCAAUCGAAGGACAAAAAGGCACCAUGACCCCGAAAUUGGCCGCAGCACGGUAUGGCAAGGAUAAUGUCCGCGUCUACAAGGUGCAUCGCAACGAGGAGACAGGCGUCCACACUGUCGUUGAGACGACAGUAUGCGUCCUGCUCGAAGGGGAUAUCGAGACGUCUUACACCAAAGCCGAUAACAGCGUCGUCGUCGCCACGGACUCCAUGAAAAACACAAUUUACAUCAUGGCCAAGCUACACCCGGUGACUCCGCCGGAACUCUUCGCCUCCAUCCUCGGUUCCCACUUUACAACCACAUACCCGCACAUCCACACCGCGCACGUCGACAUCGUCACCCUCCGCUGGACACGUAUGACAUUUGAUGGAAAACCACAUCCCCACUCCUUCCUCCGUGACGGUACGGAAACCCGCAACGUCUCCGCCACCGUCUCCGAAGGAAACAGCGGCAGCAAAGACAUCACCUCACUACCCAGUACAAUCAGCCUAACCUCCUCUAUCUCGGGCCUCUCCGUCCUAAAAUCCACAAACUCACAAUUCCACAACUUCAUCCGGGACGAGUACACCACGCUCCCCGAAACCUGGGACCGGGUGCUAAGCACCAACGUCGACGCCAACUGGACGUGGCAGCCCUUCACGUCCGUCGACGCCGUGAAGCGCGCGGUACCCCAGUUCGAUGAAACCUGGCGCGCCGCGCGGGACAUCACGCUGCGCACCUUUGCGCAGGAUAACAGCGCCAGCGUGCAGAAUUCCAUGUACAAGAUGGCGGAGCAGAUCCUGGCUGUGCAGCCGUUGCUGGAGACUGUGGAGUAUUCGCUGCCGAAUAACCACUAUUUUGAGUUGGACUUGAGCUGGCACAAGGGCAUCAAGAACACGGGUAAAAACGCGGAAGUUUACGUACCGCAGUCGGGCCCGAAUGGUCUUAUCAAGUGCAAAGUGGGCCGGGCCGGAGGAAACCGUCGGGAGACGCCGAAGUUAUAGAAACGAGAGCAAUUUUGUCAUUCCAACACUUACGUAGACCAGGGGUUGGGAGAGAAGGGGCGUACAAUAUCGGUAGAGAUAAGAUAAGAUGUUUAGAAGUUGCCAGUUGCUAGGAGUUUUUCGCCGAUUUUGUUUAUAUACUAGAGGUUAUACGGGAGGGCCUCAAGUCCCAGUGGCGAUACUUAAUGUUAGCCAGUAAGUUGAUUUAGUUGUACAGUACAAUACAUUUAUAAAAGGAGAGAGAGAAAGGGACAAACUUGUUCUAUCCCUAUACAUGAACACCUUGUAUGCAGUAGGAAAGAAAAACAGUGAAACAGGAAAUCGCGGGGGGAAAAUCCAAUAGCAAAGCAAAGAGCAGGAGAACGAAGCAAAGUUUUUAUUUCAAUGUAAUCAGGAUGUUGUUUGCUCAAACCCAGUCUCUGCUCCUUUCUCCUUCGCAAACGCUUCUUUAAUUAGCGGUGAAUCCGCGAUGGAGUUCGUGGGGCCCAGGACGCUCUUGCCGGCCAAUUUCAGGAUAUUCUUCUUGUACGGAUGCGCAUGACCUUCAAACACUUUCAGCCUCGCCAAUCUCUUGUCCCUCAGCCGAUUCUUCGGCAACAUACCGCUGACCGCCUUCCGCAGCACCUCGCCGCCACCCCACUUCUCAAACAUCUUGUCCAUCGUCAUCGACUUCAGGCUGCCGGGCCGCGUGUUGUGUGUGUAGUACAGCUUCUUGAAUCGCUUCUUGCCCGUCGUAUGCAGGUCAUGGCAGCCGACGGCCACGACGUAGUCGCCGCAGUCCGUCGACGGGUCCCAGAUCGGCUUGUGCUUGCCCAUCAGGAAUACAGCGAUGGAGGACGCGAGUCGGCCCAGGCUGCGCGGGUCGCGGCUGACGUCUAUAUAAUGCCAUGUUCGCGAGUAGGCGAGGCGGGUCCGUCCGACGGUCUGUGACAUUGUUGCGGGAAUAUGGCUAUCGAUGCAUGGGUGAGGAAUGUAUGGGAGUUGGGAGCCCGGGGAAAGGAAGGUUGCUCCCUCAAAACAGGAAUAGGGGAAAAUGGACGGCUCCUGGGGUC